UCUCACAUGUUUAUUAAAUUCAAAAUCUGAAGCUUGUUAAAGUAUCAUUUACAGUUAAGGUCUUUGGUAAAUGAUUUCCAUAAAUUACCUGGCUUAUUUAUUUUGCAUUUAUCAAUUCCCAUAAAACUGCUUAUCGACAAAUUUCUUCACACUCUCAUAUAUCAAAGAUCGUAGCAGCCAGAGAGCUGGCAGAUUAGUACACUUAAUAUUUAAGCUGAAUCUGAUGUCAACCUGUUUGGUUCCCCUAAGCCGAAAAAAAAACAAGAAUAUCUCUGUCGAAUCACUUUAGUCAGUUGCAAUAAAUUAGUGCGUGUUGUCAUAAAACCAAAUUUACAAAUUGUCCCCCAACAGCAGAGGGAAAAUAAAAAAGGCACAAAGAAUCAACUCAUAUGCGGCCUAUGGCUGCGACGACAUAGACAUCAUCGACAUCAUCAGAGAGUGGAAGCUGCAGCUGCAGUUGGAGUUGAAGUUGAAGCUGGAGUUGGAGUUGGAGGGAGCUCUCAGGGCCGACGAUAAACUCAUCAAUAAAUUGCCUGUUGUCUGGCUGUGGUUUGAGAGACAACAAACGCGCGACACCACCAACGCACUUGAUGAUGUGUCCACCGAGAGUCCAGCACUCUUCGCCGUCGUCGCAUCUUCCCAUCUUCCCAUCUCCCUGCUCUGGCUGCGUUUCGGGUGGUCGGAAUUUCUUUUUGGUGAAGCGCGUGGCUAAGUGGAUUUGUGUGUUCGUUGGUGCGCGAGAAAAAUGUUUAUUGUUUCAACAUUGUUAUCAGCCUUAAGUAAACAGACUCUGCUCAAUUUUUGAUUUCUAAUUUGUUUACCCACACCACAAA